AGACCCGGGGGCCAGCCCCCCUGCCUGCUUCUGCUGGGCUCUCCCCGAGCCCCGCAUCAGCUCAGGGCCCCCCCAGGCACGGGCUCCUUUCUCCCAGGAAAAGCACCAGCUCCCAGGGGGAGGGGUGGGCAGGUCCCUGUCCCCCCACCGCCCGCGCCCAGCACGCAGGGACAUCCCGGUCCUGCCGCCAGAGGCCUCGUGUCGGGCGGGGUUCUUUUUCCAGGGGGCAGAGCACCCACAAGCGUCAUGCUGCGAAGGGCGGGAAGCUCACAGCAGGGGGCGGGAUAGAGGCAGGGCGGCCAGGCCGGGCCGGGCAGUGGACUGGGGAGGGGGCUUCCUCCCGGCCCUGCUGCCAGACCGCCGGGCCCAGCUCCCCGCUCAGCACCCCGGCCGCGGGGUCCCGGGGGCCUCUCUCUGGGGCCGGUGCCCUCGGCUCGGAGGGCGCUACCGUGAGCUGUUGUGGCGUGGAGGCGAGUCCUGACUCUGCCCUGAGCUGCUGACCCCGCUAAUCGCCCACCCUCGCUUGGUCCCCCGACUUGUUCACCCAGAAAAGCAGACAGCGGCCUCGAGGUGGGAGGUGGCAUGACAGCGACGGGGGCAGUAAAGGCACCUCGAGGAGGGCCGCCCUCCCCUCCUCCUGCGGACGCGCCCCUCCCCAGACGCCGGGGCCUGCACGCUGACCGCGGAGCUGGACGCACGAGGGCCACGCUACCGUUUGGUCGUCGAUGCGCCGGAAGUCCAGGUACACCAGGUCGGGGAGGUAGGCACAGACGCACGUCCUGUAGUCCUCGGCCUCGGCGACCGGGUUCCCCGAGAGGCUGAGCGUCCGCAGGUCCUUGAACCGCCGCAGGUAGAUGACCUGGGGGAGGGGGGUCGCCUGUGUCCUCUGCCCGCGCUGGGCGGAGCCACGAGGGAGGAGCCACGGGCUUUGCCCAGGACCCGUGGACCUGGGUCCCCAUCUCCUCUUCUGUAAGGUGGGUGCAGGGAUGUGGUGCGUAGGUGUCGAGAGGACCAAAUGCCACACACUGUGAGGGCCUCCACCUGCUCCCGUAACGCCCUGGCUGUGCCCAUCGCUGCUGCUCUCAGAACGGGCGGCCUUUUCCAGCUGUAAAGUGCUGUGCAAGGCCCAGCGCUCUUAAAUUCAAUGGAACCUGAUUUACAGUUGGCCUGGACCAACUGGGUGGCAGCUAGUGGGACGUCCACUGACGGCCGUUUAUUCUUCCUGUUGUUAGUAACCGGGGGAAAGUCAGCAAGAUGCCAGUACCUCAUCUGACAGCAUCUCUUGUGCCUUCCUGAAGGAGUGUCUUUGUCAUUUGUUUAUUCGUUCAACAAAGAUCACUAAGCACCUACCAGGCCUCAGGCACGUGCCAGGCCUUAGGGACACAGUGGGAACAAAGCCCUUAUAGCAAGAGCUGGCACUCUAAGGCAGGGGACAAGAAUGUUUUAAAAGUAAGUAGAAUCAUUGCUGUUUGUUGUAAGUGCUAGAAGAACUCAAAGGGGGAGGGGGUGGAGAGGAGGCCUUAGGGACCACGACAGGGGGGUUUUCAGUUAGGACUGAGGCCUCUGAGGCCUGAGGGAGCAGCCAGGGAAGAGCAGGGGCGAGUGCAUUCCCAGAAGCAAAACCAGCACAAGCAAAGGCCCUGAGGCAGGAAAGAGCGUCCUGCACCAGGAACUCAGCAAGGCCAGGGGAGGGAAUGGAGCGUCCACAGCGGGGCGGGGCAUGGCCUGAGAGCCAGUGUCCCCUCCACGCCCAGGCCUGGACCUGCGUCCAGUAAAGUCUGCGGUGUCCGAGGGACGACAAGUCAGAGGGGAUCUGCUCACGUGUGGCCCUGGGUACUGGACCGACCCAGACAGGAACAGCUCAAGACACUCAGAAAGGUUUUCACAAGCAAGAUUUGGGGCUAUUGGGGUGUGCCGUUAAUCUGAAAAUCCCUGAAUAAGCAUCAUUUCCUGCAGAGCUCUCCUGUGCCCGGUCCUGUAGCAGCCACUCAACCCUAACUGACUCAGCCCUCACACCGGCCUGCCCCGCAGGCCACCGCUCUCCCGUACAGAUGGGCACGUGGGCCCCGGGCGCUGAGUCCCCGGCCCAAGGCCAGGCGGCCGGGAGCCCGUUAAACCUCAGCUCUCCACUUACACCUCCCUCAGCUGUCCUGUGUGCCCCCGUCCCGCAGGGCAGAGGGCAGCUGAGCAAUCAGGUCUUGAACCCUGACAAGAGGUGGGUUGGGUUUACAGCCUCCUAGACCACACGGCCUCCGGGGUCUGGCCCUCAAACACAGGUGAGCAGCCGGCACCUGACCCGCCCCAGGCCUUUCACCUACACCGCCUGGCCCGCCCACCCCUCUGGUCUCGGUCGGGUGGGUGAGGGCCCCUCACACCGAGGGGCACCGUGGGGGAGGUUUCUCCUGCUCUCUGUGCUGCUAGCUGUGGACGAGGAAGCCUGCGGCCUGCACUGCUGGACCAGCCCUGGGGAGCAUCAGCCCAGGUCGAUGCCAAGGGCAGCUGAGCCGAGAGGCGGGCCCGCCCCCUCCACGCAGCCCCCUGCUCCGGCCUCGGCCGUGGCUGCGAUGGACGCGGCUGCAGCGCCCGUCUCACCCCGAGCCCCACCCUGCAGCGAGGCCGGGAGGGAGUUAACACCGGGACGUGGCUCAGCCGCGGGGACAGGACUGGGGCUGAUGCUUGGGCCCUGGCCCUUAGGUGUUCACUUCUGGACGCCCGCCCAGCGGCACGGAGCCCCCAUCACGCACGGCAGCCGUGUCUGUCACACACCUGCACGGUGGCUCCGGUUGCCCCGGGGUCACCCAGCGGCACCCAGGGCCCUGCCCCGGCCCUGCUGCCAGCUCACAGGGAGGGUUGUCAGGGGGAGCCUCUCUGGUCCGCAGGCAAACCUCCAUCCCUGCUGCACUCAUUCAUGCGGGGGUGAGGGGGUGUUCCCUCUGAAACGCAGGCCUGCCCUGGGCACACACAGCGUAGAGCCCCCCACGGCUCUCCUCCGCCGCUCUGCUGCCUGGCCCUGGGCACCGCCCUGCACCCACACCCCAACCCUUCCAGUGACCCGGGGCUGCUGUUGGCCUCUGUCCCCAGUGAGCACGAGCCAGACGCCCCACGGCCGAGGGGUCCCCACCCCAGCAAAUGUCUGCUGGCGACAGCACCUGCAGCUUGGCCAGCGCGUCCAGCGAGUCGAUCUUGGAGAUCCGGUUGUUGAACAGGCUCAGGUCCUCCAGGUUCACCAGCGUGUCCAGCCCCUCGAUGGACUCAAUGUUGUUGAAGGACAGGUCUGGAGGACGGCUCCGGGUUAGAGUGACCGUCCUGAAACCAACCCCCCCGCCCCCCCGGCUCUGCUGCCACCUUCCUGGCCCCGGACUCGGGCAAAGGCUCGCGUCUGUGCGGCCCUUGUUCUGGGAUGGAAACUCCCUGGUGGGUCGGGGCAGCGCACCUUGGGGUGGGGGAGCCCCGUGCGGGCCGGGCUGCCCCAAACUCCAGGCCCAGCCCCGGCUGAGACCUCAGGACCCCCUCUAGCCCAAGUUUCUCGUCUUUGGGAAUAAAACUGCUUUUUCGCCA